GAUGAACGCUGGCGGCGUGCCUAAUACAUGCAAGUCGAGCGAAGCGGAGACGGGUGAGAAACGCGUGGAUAACCUCCUAUAAGACUGGGAUAACUUCGGGAAACCGGAGCUAAACCGGAGGCUUAUGGAUGGAUCUGCGCUGCAUUAGCUAGUUGGUAAGGUAACGGGUUACCAGGGCAACGAUGCAUAGCCGACCUGAGAGGGUGAUCGGCCACCUGGGAACUGCGACACGGUCCAUACGCCUACGUGAGGCAGCAGUAGGGAAGCUUCCGCAAUGGGCGAAAGCCUGACGGAGCAACGCGGCGUGAGUUAUGAAGGUCUUCGGAGCGUAAAGAUCUGUUACUAGUGAAGCGGUACCUAAUCAGAAAGCCACGGCUAACUACGUGCCAGCAGCCGCGGUAAUUC
rnacentral:rRNA from 1 species